UACGUAGGAGGCAAGCGUUGUCCGGAGUUACUGGGCGUAAAGCGCACGCAGGCGGUCGCCUACGUUUCGGCUGACAAUCCCCGGCUCAACUGGGGAGGGUGCCGGAAAACGGGACGACUUGAGGGUCUCAGAGGAAGGCGGAAUUCCGGGUGGAGUGGUGAAAUGCGUAGAUAUCCGGAGGAACACCAAUGGCGAAGGCAGCCUUCUGGGAGAUCACUGACGCUCAGGUGCGAAAGCCAGGGGAG
rnacentral:rRNA from 1 species